ensembl:lncRNA
UAACGGAUCCAAACAAGGGUUUCCUUUAAUGAUCAUUUGUCUUGUAAAGAAUAUAAUACAGUGACAGGACUGGAAUUCAUAAGAACAUACAUCAAUAAAUAUGGAUAAAUAUUUGUGGACCGCAUUCACACAGCUUUACACGAGCUCAGCUGCUGUUAUUUUGUGCCUCUUCGAAGUCAGCUUGAACACACAAGACACAACUCGCUGCGAACUGGAGUGCUGUGCAGAAGAACACAGUCAAAGAGGUGAUGUUUGUCUGUAUGGUAAAGCAUCACCUCGCUUCCAGCUCUCCUGCAGCGUGUUGACCGAAGCAAGUGUCUCGGUUUUUCUGAUGCAGCAGUUCAAAAACAGUGUUAGCAGGAGGAACAGAAAGAACGAGGGGGUUUUGGCUCUACAGAGGCUGUGUGAAUAUGGCCCAGAGAGGCUAAGCAACAAACACACCCAGAGUUUAAAUGGAUUAAAAAAAAACUAAAAUAGAAAAACUGUCGUGUUUGUAUCACAGGAGAGGGGAAAAAAGGGAGUGUUUGUCAUCGGUUUCAGCUCUGUCAUUUCUUCAUUCUCCCACAGUAACACAUUUCCAUUCAUCCAUCCAUCCCAGCAGAAUACAACCGUUUUCCUGACAAUGAUAAAUUGUCUCAACUCAGCAUCAGACAGAGAAUAUUAUACAAAUACUGCUAGGGGGAUGCCUGCACGGUGAAGAAGUGAUGCAGCAGGAGAAGAUAAAGUUUUAAAAAGUCUAAUGAGAUGCAGAUAGGAAGAAGAAGAAAGGAAGCAGGGGAUGUAAAUGAUAAUCUGAGUAUUUACACGGCAGAGUACACAACCUAAGUGUUCACAUGGGCCCAGAGGAGGAGUGCUGUGAACUAUGACAGUCUGUUUUCCUAUCAUUUAGCAGUCGGUCGAUGCUAUUGUGCCGUCAAUGCCAUCGACAGACUUAAUAAGGACUCCAAGACAGACGACCUAAUCAUGAAAUCAAUCGUCUGUCUGUGUGUGAGUGAGGAAGGACAGCAGCCUCCACUGCUCUUAUCAGGCUGUCAUUACUGACGAGUGUCGGCUUUUAAUGCAUCGAGUCGACGGAGAGCUGCAACAGUUCGUACAAGGAGGACAGAUUCUCAAUUUUCAGGAGACCCAAAACAGGAAAUCUGCAAUCUUGCACAUGCACCCGAAUUGGUCACCUGCGAUUUGUUUCACUGAAUGGAUAUGAAGCUGCCAAAGUGAAGUCCUAAAACAAACUUUCGGCUCCUCUGUCCUCCUGGUAACGCAUCGAGCUGUUGUUGAUGCUGGGCUAAGUCAUCCCACCAACCAAGAAGAGCCAUCGUUCAUCUUCACAACCUUAACAAUUCAUACUGCACCUGUCAAGCUUCGGAUUCCUCAAUCUUUUCACAGAGUGCAAAGAUCUUUAAUGACAAUCAAACUUUGCAUUUAAAGUCCCUCUCCGGCUGUUGAGUUAACCCCUAAAAACUCGUGUCUGUGCAUCAAAGUUGCAAUUUUUUCCAAUGAAAAUAUUUCCUUCCUUCCUUGAAAUGGCUCUAUGUAGUUCCCUGCCUCAUCCAGCUCCAAAAACACUGCAAAACUACACAAUGCUGCAAGUUGUUGGACCUAGAAAUCAAUUCUGAAGAAGAAUAAUGGUACAGAAAGCCUCAUGGCACAAGUAGUCAAGAUUAGUUCUUUAGAUUUGUUACAUAUGAAAUCCAGGAAGUCUAAAUCUGGGUUUUUGAGACUCUCAUUGGUUCACUGCAGUUUCAAUGUGGAAAUGCUUUAUGUGCUUAUGGUAUGACUGCCAGGAACCAAAAAAACUCUCAUUUUGACACGGUAACCACGUAAAAAAAAAAAAAAAAGUUGAUUUUCGAAGGGUUUGUAGUCUUUCAGUGUUAAAUCCAAGGCCAGUAGCAUACAUUAUUAUCUGUUGUUAAAGGUACACUAAAAAACACUUUCCUCACUUCCUGUUCCUGGAUGCUGUGUCGGAAUAUUAGCAGUUCUGUCCUGCUAUAAUGGAUUAGGAAAACCUGAAGUUGUCACAACAACAGCAUUUCCAAACACUCAUUUUAUUUACUGCAAUUUCAUGCUUAAAUAUUAGAUUUUAGCAUGAAAUUAAGAAUAUAUUGGUGUUUAGGAAUGCUGCUGCACUCAUGUCUGUCGCGCUGUGUCAACCAGACACCUGCUUCCAGCUCAUAUUUCAUCUCUGCUGAACUCAGCUGUGAGUGAGAUGAACGACUGGGUGACGAUUACAAAAAGGUGGCUCAGCCUGAGAGGAGACCUGCUGGCUGUGAAGAUGUUCAAUGGUUUGCCCCGCUGCUCUGCCCUCAGGCGCCCUGCUCGCUACUGAGCCAGGAGGAAGGUGGCAGGAGCCUCCGUUAACUCACUCAUCUUCAUAAUUAAGACUCGCAAUUAUAAGGCUUUGUCACUGUCUGUUUGCCUGCCCUCAGGGCUCCGGCUAGAAAGCCUAACGAGGAAAAAGGGGAGAGGAGUGGAGGAGAUUAAAAGAGGUGGGAGUCAAAAAGCGAUAAGAGAGGCAGACACGGUUUGAAGUUUCAAGCAGAAAAAAAUAUAAAGAAUGUGUGUAUUUGACUGCAUUGAGAGAGUGUUUUUGCAGAGAAAGGCCUUUAAAAGUCCGGUCAAGUCCCAGAGGAUGUGGCAAAAGCUGACUGUUCACUUACAGAGACAAAACACACACAGCUCAGCUCAAACCAAACAGAGCUUUUUAUGUGCUGUCUAUUUUACUUUAGGAUUCUCAAACUUUUAACUAAAAGACAGAUCAUUAUCAAUAGGAAAUCCACUCGUACCAACUCGUUAGGGAUUAAAAAUGUGCAUAAAUUUGUGGCAUUUAUGUUGGAAGCCUAAUCAUCUCUGCAGAGGAGAGCUGCAGAAGUCAUUUUAAAAUCUCAACACAGUCUGAUUCAUUAGUUUCAUCACUAAUCUUAUUACAUUUUAUCCAAGCUUUCUCAGUUUUCGCAGUUUCCACUCCCUUAUCACCUUUUCAUGCUCUGUUAUAGUCCUGGCACACCUGAACCUUUACACAACUGUAAUUACACUGUCUCUGGGCGUCAACUCUGAUUUGAUUUACUGUGAGAGCAGCUCCUGUCUGCCCUUUCAUUCAUCCACCUGUGGUCAAUCCAUUUUCCAGGAAAAGGCAGAAAAGAAAAAACUAAGAGAAGCUUGUGUCAGUUUGACAUCUAUGGAGCGACAGGGUUUGACGGCUGUCUGGGCCUCCCGUCCGUCACCUUACACCUUCCCCUGGCUGUCCGUCAACCCCUCCCCUUGUCAUCACGGCUCUGUGCUUCGGCAGAUAAUGCCACUUGUUAAUUAGGCAUGCGGUAGAUUAAUUAAACUGAUACCGAGGUGCAGGUUCACUAUUCUUCUCUGUGCACAGGAGUGUUGUCAUUGCCAAGGUGAGAAGAGACAAACAAAGGCAGGGAAUUAAUGUGCACGGGAUGGAUUUUCUUACUUCAUGUGACUUUAAACAACCCGAUCCCGCUUUCUCUGUUCUAAGAUCGGCUGCUGAAAAACCCUGAGUGUACUCUUUCCCCAAUAAAGAGCAGGUUAAACUGCAUUUUGAUGUGCUUAUCAUCCACUUGCUUUCUAUUGUGAAAAAGGAAAGAAUGUUGAGUGAAGAAAACGGAUGAAAGCGCAGAGGUGGUGAAAAAGCAUCACAAGGUGGAGACACAUAAAGGAUAGAAAUGACGGAGUCAGUGGUUGGAGCGUAAUCCCAGAAGCUCCGACCUCAAGUGCCGGCUUUAAAAAACAGCAAUUUAACCCGGCAGUAAAGGGGGAAAGAGAAGAGAGCAAAGCACUUGUUCUAUCCGUCUCAAUCCCCUCUUUAAAGCAGGACACGCAGGAGCAGUGAGCUCAGGUGUGAACAGCUGUGAGACUGUCUGCCCCAGAAAUGGCGAGCCUUAAUCUCCGCUGACCUUUUCUAUCAUCGUCCGCUUGGGCCUCAGCCACUGUCAGUGUCCUCAGUCAUGAGCACACAUGCUGAGAUGAACCAGAGCUCAGUGUCUCCUCUGCCUCAUAUUCAUCCAGAUACCCUGUUUGCACAGCUGAUUCAUGGUUUCACAGAGAGCCGAUCACCAUCACAUAUCCAACACAUUCUGCUGCAGACGGAGCAGUGUAAAUGACAAAAAUGCCCAUCUUAAGCCCUCUGAUUAAUACGGUUAUGCUGACAAUGGGUCAAAUGAUUAAAUGUCAUGUAAAAGGGGAUGGUUGUGGUGACAAACCCACCAAAAACAUCAGUGUGCAGUUUUCCACAUGGCAACUUCGCUUUUUGAUUCAGUCUCAUCGGCCGUGGUGAACAGCUGUUUUCAGCAAAAAACGUCUCAUAAAGUUAGCAAAUGUACAUUUACAAGGUGGCCGACACAAGAAACACAACUCCAACUAAUGCUAUUGUCGGUCCAUAUGUGCUGGUUGUCUAAAUAAGUGACUGUUUGCCAUAAGGUGAUAAUAUGUCAAUGCUGGGUUCCCAGCCGGUUCUGCUGAUCUCAGUUUAUACAAAAAUUCAGUGAAUGCAUGUUUCAUUAUUAACAUCUUGCUGGUUUGAAAAACUAUUGGGGAGACAAUAGAUCACGAGAUUUAGCCUGGAUGCACCAAACUACUUUGGGAAAGUUUGUGCAACUACACACUUGAUUUGUGCGGUAGAUUUAAGGCGAGACACUACAGGAAAAUUUGAGAUUUUGGGAUAUUUUGCUUCCAUGACAUGUCUUCUUUCAGAGUUAUGGAAAGAACAUGCACAUGUAGGUGAAUUUUCUGCAAAUUAGCACAUUUUAAGAAAGAAUAACUCAUUUCCAUAUUAAAACUUUAAAUGUCAGGAAUCUUGUAAAAGGAAAAACAACCACCUUAACAUAAUCAGCUGGGGAACUUUUGGGUGAACUGUUUGCCAGUAAAUGCAUUUUUUUUUUCUCAAAUUCUGAGCCUGAAAUCUCUUAGUUCUAUAGCACUUAUAAACACCCACAUCGGAGGGUUUCUGCAGAGGAGUUUGUUCUUAUAUCAUACACAGCCUGAUUUGAACUCCAUUAACAUGGCAACAAUUGAUUUUUCACCGUUGCUGUUGAAAGUAUUUU